CAAGUAGGACAAAUGAUCGCGGCUGCUUUAUAGCAGAUGAGGAAAGUCCGGGCUUCACAGGGCAGGAUGCCGGAUAACGUCCGGUGGAGGCGACUCCAAGGCUAGUGCAACAGAAAUAAACCGCCCCUGAAUUAUCAAUUGGUAAUCCAGGAGGGAAUCUGCAUUUUGCAGAUUCCUCAAGCUCAGAGCGGAGGUCUUACCGUAGCUCUGAGUCUUGUGGUAAGGGUGGAAAGGCAGUGUAAGAGACUACCGCCUGUACGGUAACGGACAGGGCACAUGUAAACCCCAUCCGAAGCAAGACCAAACAGAAAGCGCUUUUAGCUUGCCCGGCGAGCUUUCAGGUGGGUCGCUUGAGACUGUUGGUGACGGCAGUCCUAGAUAGAUGAUCAUUCGACGACAUAACCCGGCUUAUCGUCCUGCUUGAUUU
rnacentral:RNase_P_RNA from 1 species